AGCCCCGUAGGGUAGUGGCCAAUCCUAGCGGUCUUUGGAACCGCGGACCCAGGUUCGAAUCCUGGCGGGGCUA
rnacentral:tRNA from 1 species